rnacentral:miRNA from 1 species
UGAGAAGAUCCGGUGAGUAACU